rnacentral:tRNA from 1 species
CCCAAAUCGGUAGACGCUACGGACUUAAAAUCCGUCGACUUUAGAAAUCGUGAGGGUUCAAGUCCCUCUAUCCCCA